UGCGAAAGCGUGGGGAGCAAACGGAUUAGAUACCCCGGUAGUCCACGCGUAAACGAUGUCUACUAGCCGUUGGAGGACUUGAUCCUUUAGUGGCGCAGCUAACGCGAUAAGUAGACCGCCUGGGGAGUACGGUCGCAAGAUUAAAACUCAAAUGAAGUGACGGGGGCCCGCACAAGCGGUGGAGCAUGUGGUUUAAUUCGAAGCAACGCGAAGAACCUUACCUACUCUUGACAUCCAGUGAACUUUUAAGAGAUCAAUUGGUGCCUUCGGGAACACUGAGACAGGUGCUGCAUGGCUGUCGUCAGCUCGUGUUGUGAAAUGUUGGGUUAAGUCCCGUAACGAGCGCAACCCUUGUCCUUAGUUACCAUCAUUAAGUUGGGGACUCUAAGGAGACUGCCGGUGACAAACCGGAGGAAGGCGGGGACGACGUCAAGUCAUCAUGGCCCUUACGAGUAGGGCUACACACGUGCUACAAUGGCAUGUACAAGGGGUUGCCAAGCCGCGAGGUGGAGCUAAUCCCAUAAAGCAUGUCGUAGUCCGGAUUGGAGUCUGCAACUCGACUCCAUGAAGUCGGAAUCGCUAGUAAUCGUGAAUCAGAAUGUCACGGUGAAUACGUUCCCGGGCCUUGUACACACCGCCCGUCACACCAUGGGAGUGGGUUGCUCCAGAAGUAGAUAGCUUAACCUUCGGGAGGGCGUUUACCACGGAGUGAUUCAUGACUGGGGUGAAGUCGUAACAAGGUAACCG
rnacentral:rRNA from 1 species